UUUUAGGAUACCGUGUUGAGCUGCUGGUGGAGUCAGGUGAAGAUACAGCUAUGUUUGUUGCAUUUGAUUAAGCUAUGACUAAGCUCACAGGUGUUAGGACUGCAGAGGUUGAGAAUCCUAUGGGUCAUUGUGAACAAUACCCUAGCAGCUACCAGCUCCCUCAAUUCCUGAGGACAUUGUUGAGAAUUCCAGGACCUGCCUUUGCACCACAUAUAAGUCAAUACAAGGAGAUGGAUGCGAGCCAGCUGUUGAGGAAACAGUACCAAACACUGAGCAGGAGGAUUCCAUAAAUAAGGAUGUUGGUGACGUGCCCCAAGUUUAACCAGAAGGGAAUCCAACGAAGAAGUCCUGGAAUCUAGCACUAAUGAGAAACUAAGCCAACAUUUUCACCGAGGCUUCUGCUUAUUUCACUCAGAUAAUUAGGUUUUCAAAUAACGGAUAGGACGGUUAGUGAACUAUCUAUUUAAAUAUUGGGUUGUUUUUUGUUUUCUCUGUUUCUGAA